rnacentral:rRNA from 1 species
UAAGACGUAGGAUGCAAGCGUUGUCCGGAUUUAUUGGGCGUAAAGAGUUCGUAGGUGGUUUGUUAAGUCUGAUGUUAAAGACUGGGGCUCAACCUCGGAAAUGCAUUGGAUACUGGCAGACUUGAGUGUGGUAGAGGCAAGCGGAAUUCCAGGUGUAGCGGUGAAAUGCGUAGAUAUCUGGAAGAACACCGGUGGCGCAAGCGGCUUGCUGGGCCAUAACUGACACUGAGGAACGAAAGCUAGGGGAGCGAAUGGGAUUAGAUACCCCAGUAGUCCUAGCCGUAAACGAUGAAUACUAGGCGUAUCGGGUAUCGACCCCUGAUGUGCCGUAGCUAACGCGAUAAGUAUUCCGCCUGAGUAGUACGGCCGCAAGGUUG